GACAGAGGGGGCUAGCGUUGCUCGGAAUCACUGGGCGUAAAGCGCACGUAGGCGGAUUGUUAAGUCAGGGGUGAAAUCCUGGAGCUCAACUCCAGAACUGCCUUUGAUACUGGCGAUCUUGAGUCCGGGAGAGGUGAGUGGAACUGCGAGUGUAGAGGUGAAAUUCGUAGAUAUUCGCAAGAACACCAGUGGCGAAGGCGGCUCACUGGCCCGUUUCUGACGCUGUAGCGCGAAAGCGUGGGGAUCAAACAGG
rnacentral:rRNA from 1 species